UUUGCUGACAUCCCUUCAUCACCAUCACACAUCUCCAUACUUCUCUCUAUCUUUCUCUCUCUUUGAAUAUCUUUCUUCUUCAAUACACCAUUCUUUCUUUCUCUAUUAACCAGAUCUAUCUUCUUCAUCGCCAUCACACAUCUCCACAUUUUUUUUGAAAAACAAUUUCUGCAACAAAGAAUCAGAGUUGAAGAUCCAGAUCCACGAUGUCUUUCUCUCCAAGAUGGGUUUGAGCCGAAUCAGAAGCUGGAGUUGGAGGAGUUGUUUAAGGAAGGUGAUUUGGUUGAUGUUUCUGGUACCACCAUUGGCAAAGGGUUUCAAGGCGGUAUAAAGAGGCAUAACAUCAAAAGAGGUCCAUGGGUCAAAGAGUUAUCGGGCUCUUGGUUCAAUCGGAGCAGCAACAACGCCUGGGCGUCUGUACAAAGGGAAGAAAAUGCCUGGUCAAAUGGGAGGAACAAAAACCAAGAUCCGAAAACUUAAGAUUGUCAAAAUCGUCACUGAUUUGUUUGUUGUGAUUAAGAAAUAGGUGGUACUUAGUUGGAUUAUCCUUGUUAGUAUGUUAAUGACAUUUUCGGUAGUAUGUACUUGUUGAUGUUUGGCUGAAUAUGAGAAUUUUCUAUGUUAUGGAUUU